rnacentral:rRNA from 1 species
AUUGAACGCUGGCGGCAGGCCUAACACAUGCAAGUCGAACGGUAACAGGAAGCAGCUUGCUGCUUUGCUGACGAGUGGCGGACGGGUGAGUAAUGUCUGGGAGACUGCCUGAUGGAGGGGGAUAACUACUGGAAACGGUAGCUAAUACCGCAUAACGUCGCAAGACCAAAGAGGGGGACCUUAGGGCCUCUUGCCAUCGGAUGUGCCCAGAUGGGAUUAGCUAGUAGGUGGGGUAACGGCUCACCUAGGCGACGAUCCCUAGCUGGUCUGAGAGGAUGACCAGCCACACUGGAACUGAGACACGGUCCAGACUCCUACGGGAGGCAGCAGUGGGGAAUAUUGCACAAUGGGCGCAAGCCUGAUGCAGCCAUGCCGCGUGUAUGAAGAAGGCCUUCGGGUUGUAAAGUACUUUCAGCGGGGAGGAAGGGAGUAAAGUUAAUACCUUUGCUCAUUGACGUUACCCGCAGAAGAAGCACCGGCUAACUCCGUG